UACGUAGGGGGCAAGCGUUGUCCGGAAUCAUUGGGCGUAAAGCGCGUGUAGGCGGCUCGAUAAGUCUGCUGUGAAAGUCCAGGGCUCAACCCUGGAAUGCCGGUGGAAACUGUCGAGCUAGAGUCCGGAAGAGGCGAGUGGAAUUCCUGGUGUAGCGGUGAAAUGCGCAGAUAUCAGGAGGAACACCAAUGGCGAAGGCAGCUCGCUGGGACGGUACUGACGCUGAGACGCGAAAGCGUGGGGAGCGAACAGG
rnacentral:rRNA from 1 species